AUGCAGCAGCCAGCCAGCCAGCAGGCCCAAGCUGGGCUCCUGCCUGUUCAACAUCCUCAGAAACUCCAAAAUACCAAGAAAAUCCAUCACGGAAUUUGCUAUGGUGAAAUAUUAGUCGAACAAGUUGCUUUUUCAACGUCGACACCUCUUCCAUUGUUUUCAGGUGAAGUGAGUAGUCUCUACAGAAUUCCACUGGAUUUCUUCAACACUCAAAUGACCGCAAAGCAAGGGAAACGGUUCAAACGUCAGUGCGAAAACCUAUUUCUGUGCCUCUCGAACCAUGGCAUUGAGCUUCUUCUGUCUCUUCCUUUCAUGUCGAUCCUUAUCUUCUGGAUCAGAACCAACUUCACUUGUUUCUCUACCAGUGUCGCCCUGAAUUUGAAAAGUGGUAUAGCUCAAAGCUGA
rnacentral:rRNA from 1 species